GACGAACGCUGGCGGCGUGCCUAAUACAUGCAAGUAGAACGCUGAAGGAGGAGCUUGCUUCUCUGGCUGAGUUGCGAACGGGUGAGUAACGCGUAGGUAACCUGCCUGGUAGCGGGGGAUAACUAUUGGAAACGAUAGCUAAUACCGCAUAAGAGUAGAUGUCGCAUGACAUUUGCUUAAAAGGUGCAAUUGCAUCACUACCAGAUGGACCUGCGUUGUAUUCGCUAGUUGGUGAGGUAACGGCUCACCAAGGCAACGAUACAUAGCCGACCUGAGAGGGUGAUCGGGCACAAUGGGACUGAGAAACGGCCCAGAAUCCUACGGGGGGCAGCAGUAGGGAAUCAUCGGAAAUGGACGGAAGUCUGACCGAGCAACGCCGCGGGAGGGAAGAAGGUUUUCGGAGCGUAAAACUCUGUUGUAAGAGAAGAACGAGUGGGAGAGUGGAAAGUUCACACUGUGACGGUAUCUUACCAGAAAGGGACGGCUAACUACGUG
rnacentral:rRNA from 1 species